UCCGGCCCCGUGAGGCCCCCUCCCAGAGCUAGUUAAGGCGCAAACAACCCGGGGUGGGCAAUGCUUAACUCCGAGUGGUGUCAAAUGGACGCAGUUCCUUCCUGGCGACUAUGGGGAGCUUUUUCCAGAUGCCUCCCAUCGGGUCAGAGGGACCGAUCUAGGGGGCCCAAAGUCCAACGCCCCCGGGGGUGUCGCCGCGGGUGCAAGUUCUUCAGCCUGACGGAGACCCCCGAGGAUUACACGCUCAUGGUGGACGAGGAGGGCUUCAAAGAACUACCCCCAUCUGAGUUCCUUCAAGUGGCUGAGGCCACAUGGCUGGUGCUGAACGUGUCAUCCCACAGUGGAGCAGCAGUGCAGGCUGCUGGGGUCACCAAAAUCGCGCGCUCAGUCAUUGCACCACUGGCCGAGCACCAUGUGUCUGUGCUGAUGCUGUCUACUUACCAGACGGACUUCAUCCUGGUGCGGGAACAGGACCUGUCUGUGGUGAUCCACACGCUAUCCCAGGAGUUCAACAUUUACCGAGAAGUGGGCGGGGAGCCUGUGCCUGUUGCCAGGGAUGAUUCCAGCAAUGGCUUUCCCCGUUCUCAGCAUGCAGGGCCCAGCCCCACUGUGCAUCCCAUCCAGAGCCCACAGAACCGCUUCUGUGUCCUUACGCUGGACCCUGAGACACUGCCAGCCAUUGCUACCACCCUCAUCGAUGUUCUCUUCUACUCAUACAGUGCCCCCAAGGAGGCAGCCUCUGGUGGUCCUGGACCCAGCUCUAUUACAUUCUUUGCCUUCUCCCUCAUCGAGGGCUACAUCUCCAUCGUCAUGGAUGCUGAGACGCAGAAAAAGUUCCCCAGUGACCUCCUGCUGACCAGCUCCUCGGGGGAGCUGUGGAGGAUGGUGCGCAUCGGUGGACAGCCCCUGGGCUUUGAUGAGUGUGGAAUCGUGGCUCAGAUCGCAGGCCCCCUGGCUGCGGCCGACAUCUCUGCCUACUACAUCAGCACCUUCAACUUUGACCAUGCCCUGGUGCCUGAGGAUGGCAUCGGCAGCGCCAUUGAGGUCCUCCAACGACGGCAGGACGGCCAGGGCUCCUGAGGCCUCCAUUCUGUCCCCUCACCCCAGGCUUCCAGAGACUUCUCUAAGCUAUUUCCUCAAGCUCUGGGAUGAGUCCUCCCCACCCCCAUUCCUGCUGGGGGACCCCUCCUUCUGCUCUCUGUAUGUAAGCUGCGUGCAGGCACCGGCUCUCACGUGGACACGCGUGUCUGCCCACGCAGGGGAACACGGUGCUCUGGGCUUCCUCCAGGAAGCCCUCACCCCUCACUCCCUGCUCGGCCUCAGUGUUUGCACAUUCCCUGCCUGAGGCCCAAGACAUCCCCCCUCUCAGUGCCCUGAGCCAGCUGCUCCCUUGGACAGGGCCCUGGUCUCCAUUCUGCUUCUGGCUGGGUCACCUUCCCUGGCCAGGUGAGUUCUGACAGUGCCUGCCCCUCCCGGGGCCUCCAAGAAAAGUAUUUUUACAUCUUUCUCCCUUUUUUAUUGACUUAUUAAUAAAGGCUUAUAGUUAUAAAGGGUUGGGCUGUGGUCCAUGGGGGUUGUUUGAGCUCAGCCAUGGCUACUCUGCUGCUCCUUCCAGCCCCUCUGCCUGAGGUCCUGGUUUGUCCCUGUGUAGCUGGCUCUGGCUGGGCUCAUCUGACUCAGUUCUCGCCUCGGGGAGAAUCGAAGCCUUGAGAGGUGAUGUGACUUAGCCAAGGUCACCUGAUUCCCAUCCAAGGCUACCUGCCUCUGAAGCCCAGCCUCUUCCUUCCUUCCUUCCUUCCUUCCUUCCUUCCUUCCUUCCUUCCUUCCUUCCUUCCUUAAUGUUUUUAUUUAUUUUUGAGACAGAGAGAGACAGAGCAUGAGCAGGGGAGGGGCAGAGAGGGGGAGACACAGAAUCUGAAGCAGGCUCCAGGCUCUGAGCUGUCAGCACAGAGUCCGACGUGGGGCUCGAACUCACAGAGUGUGAGAUCAUGACCUGAGCUGAAGUCGGACGCUUAACCAACUGAGCCACCCAGGCGCCCCGAUCUUUCUUCCUUUCUUGCUGUUUUGCAAUAGUCCAGAAGGUUCUGAACAUGGUUAGAGAUUCCCAGACCAUCCCACCUGGAAGUCCGCCAGCCUUCCCUGCCACCCCAAGGUGGGCCCAAAAGCACCUUUCUUCUAGACUGCUGCCUGCUUGCUUUUAGACCAUGCCUGAGUCCUGGAGGUCCCACACAGGAGUCCCUGUUGGCCAAAAAAUCAGUUAGUUCUUGUCACCAGGGCUCUCCUGGAGUAGUGGUAGGAGAGGGGCCAGCCAGAGUGGGGACCUGGGAGUCCACACACUGGGCUUCCCCUGGCCAGAGGGAGAGGAUUGGGGCCUGGAGGCCACCUGGAACCCAGUGUGCCUUCGAAGGCUGCCUUCCUGGGCCAGAGGCUCAGCACAUGUGGGCCCGGGUUUCCUGUCACAGAGGGGCUGCCUCCCUGCUCCACAAGACUGGGAUUCCACUGUGGCCAGAUGGGGCCCUACAGAUGUGCUGGGGAGGUUAUCAGGUACCCUCAGCCCAGACCCGCCCACAUUCAGGAAAGGAAGAAGGGUGUGACUUCGGCGUAUUCAGAGGUUGCAGUGGCUCCCCAGAAAAGCCAGAGCGGGGGCCAGGCCUCUGGCAGUGUGCCCGCCCUACCCCUGGGACCCUGGGAUCAAGGAGCAGAGAGCACAGCCCAGCCUGGUGAGUGAGCGGUCGGGACCCUAGACCAUCUCCUUCCCCUCAGCAUCUGUUUCCUCAUGUGUAUCAAGAUCUAGGAGGCAGCUCCUUCAGGAUCCCUAUUCUUCUUGGCCCUGGGAAGGUGGCAUUGCUUUGUAGUUUGACUUGGGGGGAAAUUGGGGAGUUCUGGCUUCUCUCUGGAGGACCCAUCCUGGGCCCUGGUUCAAGGGAUGUCUUGGGCUGAGUGGGGGCUUUAACACCAGAAUCCUUAGGGCUCCUGACCUGCAGGUAGAGAGCUCCUGGGCCCCAUGUUCAGCUCUGGGGACUCUGUCCAUCUGUCUGCUUAUGAGUCCCUGUGAGUCAUGGACUGAUUUGGAUGUUUCUGUCAUCCCGGCUUUCCAGGUGGCAUCAGACUUUGCCCAGUCCCUCAGACCAGGUCUUAACCUGGCAUUGGUUAGUUCUUGGCGUGCUGCCCACAGGUAGGGGGGCCACCGGCAUGCCCCAGUGGGCUAGUCUGACUUGGACCCAGGCCUAGAGCUUACGUGUGUCUCUUUGCCACAUGUGUGUGAAUCUGUGUGGAGGGGCUUAGCUCCCAGGGCAUUAGAGUCCUUGGGGCUCACUGAGUCAGCUUGGCCUUCAGCAGGUUACAAAUGGGGAGAUCUGCUCUGAGAUUGCCAGGAAGACCAGGACCCACCUGGGGUCAGGGCACGGGGCUUGGGAGGUGACUGGGGCACACUCAGCUGAGAAGGAACAUGACUCUGGACCUCACAUGUGGCUGAUGCUCUGGAUACCAUCAGAUAGACAGGCCUUAAGCUGUCCCAAGCUGAGGUGGGGGCUCCCAGAAUCACCUCUUGGUCCCACCCAGGCCCCUGAAGAGUUCUAGAACAAAGGAAGUCAGUAUGGUCAACCCAGGCCUGGAGUUGAGCUCAGCUUGGGUCAUUCAGAACUGAGGUUGGGGGGUGCUCACUGGCACACAGUCCACAUCCUUGUCCUUCCAACCCUGGGAGCCCCAGUCCACCUGUCCACAUCAGCACAGCCUUCCUGAGCUCAAGGGUCAAGGCCCCAGACUGCAGAGCCUGAGUGCUCAUCCUCAUAAAGGUGGUAGCCUGUGUCUGGGGAAAACCGUACCCACAGUCCCCUGGGGAGUAGGAAGGUGCUCUUAGCCCUCUGACUGUCAGCCCAGUGUCUGGCAUCUGCUGGGAGGAUGUGAACCUAGGUGGGGGCUCUUGGGUGGGUGGGGACGGGAGAUGAGGAAACCUCAGGCGGGGAGAGUCAGUGGCUCAUUUCCACCCUUUCUGAUUUUGCAUGCCCAUGCAGAGGAAAUGAUCUUGUAAGUCCUCUUUGAAGUUAUUUGAGCAGAAACUCAGGGUUUAAAGUCGUCCCUACCCCUGCCAGGCAGGGCUGUAUGGUCCCGUGCUUAUUGCCAAGUUGCUCCAAAGCUUGCUUCUUGGUUUUGUGUAGAAAGGAGAAUACACCCACACCCUCUCGAUGUUCCACCUGGCCCCAAGAUCCCAUCUGGUGGGAAGGAACCAAGCAGGAGGCAGGAGGGCAGCCCCCUCUACAGCCAGCUGACUUUCGUUUUCCAGGAAAGUGUUGAAAUCUGCAGUGGGUGAAAGAAUAUAUUUUGAAUUCACUUAAAAAAAUAUCAUAAAGGAAAAAGUCAGCGUCUUUAAAAUCCAGGCUUCCUAAAAAAAGGAUCACGUGCUUUGGUGUAUUGUGAGUGAUAUAAUUCUGAUUUCCUUGGGGAAAGAUGACCAAGAGAAGGCAUGAGAAAGGCUUCAAGAAAACCUGUUCCUGCCCAGCAGUGAGGUUGGCCUGAACUUCCAGAGGCCUGGCUGCAGGUGCACUAGAUAUGGGAGGGACACAUCUGGAUCCUGUACCGUGGGAGCCACAGGUGACCUUUCCUGGGGAUUCUGCAGAUGGCCACAUCUGUGGUCAUGCAUUCAUCCAUUCACUAAAGAUUUAUUGAGCACCUACUAUAUGACGUGGACUGUGCUGUGCUCUGGAAAGGCAACGAGGAGCCACAACCACAGCACACACCCUCUUGGAAUUUUGUCAGGGGUGGGCAGGGACCAGCCUGGGGUGGAGGAAGUUCAGGGGGGGCUUCCCUGAAGAGGUGAAGCUUGGACUGGACCUUGAUGUCUGGAUGACAGUUCAUUCAGUAGGAGGAGGUUCAGGCAGUGGGAACAGCAUAUGCAAAGGCCAUGAGGUGAGUGCUCUGCUCCCCUGAGGGACUGAGGAAAGUCAGAGAAGGCAGCGGGCUAGAAAGGUAUGGGUGAGGCUGGGGGGUGGGCAGGGCCUGGUGGCUGUGGUAAUAACUUUGGCCUCACCAAACGUCCGCAUGAAUCCAGGGGAGUGUUUUAAACAAGAGGGUGGCACCAGGCUGUAUUGUACAAGUCCCCUGGAGGGACUGCAAUGGCAGUAAAGCCAUUUGGUGGGUGGAUCCAUUUCAUCCCUCCUGACUUUCCUCCCUCUCUGUUAAGACUUCCAGCCACACCUGCUUUUCUCUAAACCAGACCUAUGCAGUCUUGCUUGCAUAUCACCUCAUGCAGUCCUGUCCAUGUGGAAUUUGUAGCAUCUCUCUCCUGCAUUUUUGCCAGUUAAACUGGCAUUCCCCGCCCCCCUCCUCCACCCCAGACCUGUAGAAAUACCGACCUCCUCACCCAAUCACUCCCUGGCUGGUCCUUGACCAAGUGGAUAUCCAUCUUCCCUCUGUGAAAACCAUUUGUUUUCAAGUUUGUUGAGCCAUGUGGCUGCAUGAGUUCUGGGCAAGCCACUGCGUGUAUGGUGUGCUGGCCAAUCGUGUGGACCUAGGACAGCUGCCUGGAGCCCAACUUGCCUUUGCUGCCUCCCACCCGUGUGACCUCCCGUCAAAUAUCUCAUCUCUCAGGCCUCAGUUUCCCCAUCUACAGGAUAGACACAAUGAUCUCUGUGAGGAUGGUUGGGAGAAUUCACAGAGCCAGCCUGUAGGAGGAAGUGCUCAGAACUGGGUGCAGCCCACAGAAGAGCUCCAGAAACGUCUGAUUAUUACCACUGGGCAAAUGGCACGUACCUGGGCACCAAAACAUUUUUGGCAAGAAUGUGAUGUUUCAAAAUAGGCAUUGUAUGUUCCCAGCAUGAGAAAAGUCAGGACUCCAUUGGACUUCGUGAUCCUUGUUUGAUGGUUAAGGUUAUUUUUAUUUACAGUGAUAUCUCAGUGUUUAGAGCCUGUAGGGUUCUAGGCCCUCUGUGUUCAUCUCGCCCAUCCCCUCAUCUCUCAGAGAGGACCCUGGGCUCAGAGGGGAUGGUGAGGGGGGUGGUUGUUCUAGGCCAGCCAGAGAGAAGAUAGCAGGGCAGCGCUCUUAUCUCCUGGUCAUCCCACCUCAGAGUAGAUGCUUGUCCCCUGCCCCCCUCCCCACUGCCGAAGACAGUGAGCCUCCUGAACAGAAGUGAGUUCCUUCUAUCCCUAUCUCUAUGCUGCAUUUCUCUGAAGGUUCAGGCCUCUGGAAGGGGGCUCAGUUACCCAAUUUGGGGGAGCCACUGGACACACAGAGGCUUCCCACACUGUGGACACACCAGGUCCCAGAAGAAUUCUGUGGUACAUCUCAAGCCAAAGGAUCCUCCAGCCCAGGGUGACCUCGCUGGCCUCAUGGGGAGGGCCCUGGUAGAUACUUGCUCACCCCAGGGUUUAUGUAAUGUCGUCUUUCCCAAUCGUCCUCAAAGCCAUGCUAUGACAUAAGCAAAUGUACGCCUCUGUCUGCCCCAGUGGCUGGCGGGUAUUUAUCGAGCACUUGCUAUGAGCUAGGCAUUUGCACGCAUUAUCCACCAAAUUACCCUCACUGUCCUCUUGAGAUAGCACUUACCACUGCAUUUUUUAAAAAAUAGAGACACAAGAUAUGUAUAUUAUCAACUUUACCAUUUUAAAGUCUAUAAUUCGGUGGGUUUUAGUAUAUUCAGAAGAUUGUACAACCAUCACCACUAUUUAAUUCAAAAACAUUUCAUCACCCCAGAAGAAACCCCAUACCCAUUAGCUGUCACUCCUUAUCCUUAGAUCUCUCCAGGCACUGGGAAGCACUCAGGUGCUUUCUGUCUCUAUGAAUUAACCUAUUCUGGACAUUUCAUAUAAAUGGAAUCAUCCAGCAAUCUUUUGUGACUGGUUUCUUUUACUUAGUAUAAGGUUUUUGAGGCUCAUCCACAUUGUAGCAUGUGUCUGUACUUCAUUCCUUUUGUGGCUGAAUAAUAUUCCAUUGUAUGGAUAUACCACAGCUUAAAAAUCUGUUUUCUGCUGAUGGACAUUUGGAUUGCUUCCACUUUGGGGCUAUUGUGAAUAAACGCUGCUAUAAAUAUUUGUGUGCAA